GAUAUGGAGGUCUUGGUCGCUUUAUGACAUUUCAUUGUUACGAAUGGCACACAGAAAAAUGCUUUGUCCCUUUCUGAAAUUGAAGCCAACCACAGGCGUGAAGGUGCGGCCCAGUAUCCCAACAAAGGAACAGGAAGUGGAGAAGUGAUCAAAGAAUCACAGAGCCGGCCAUUUUCUGUUCCAGCAUGACUGUACCUCAGUGCCUGAAGCAAGGUCCAUAAAGAUCAGUUUCACAGGGAAAGACGUCUGACUUCAACCCGGUCACACAGUUUUGGGGCAAAGUAGAGCAAGAGAUUGUGAGUCAGGCCAGAUUUCACUUUUCACCGUUUUUCUCUGAACUGUUCAUCUGGAUGAUUACAUCUCCCAGAUACUUUGCCAACAUCUUGUAGAAAGUCUUUACUCAAGAGUGGAAGCUUCAAAAUGGAAAGUGACUUCAUGUUAUGAUUUUUUUUUUAGAGUCUGAGGAGAGA